rnacentral:rRNA from 1 species
GAUGAACGCUAGCUACAGGCUUAACACAUGCAAGUCGAGGGACCGGCGCACGGGUGAGUAACACGUAUCCAACCUGCCCUUUACUCGGGGAUAGCCUUUCGCAAGAAAGAUUAAUACCCGAUAUAAAGGAUGGGGAUGCGUUCCAUUAGGUUGUUGGUGAGGUAACGGCUCACCAAUCCUUCGAUGGAUAGGGGUUCUGAGAGGAAGGUCACCCACAUUGGAACUGGGACACGGUCCAAACUCCUACGGGAGGCAGAAGUGAGGAAUAUUGGUCAAUGGGCGGUGGACUGAACCAGCCAAGUAGCGUGAAGGAUGAAGGCUUAUGGGUCGUAAACUUCUUUUAUAUAAGAAAAUGUAUUAUAUGAAUAAGGAUCGGCUAACUCCGUGCCAGCAGCCGCGGUAAUUC